GACGAACGCUGGCGGCGUGCUUAACACAUGCAAGUCGAACGGAAAGGCCCUGCUUUUGUGGGGUGCUCGAGUGGCGAACGGGUGAGUAACACGUGAGUAACCUGCCCUUGACUUUGGGAUAACUUCAGGAAACUGGGGCUAAUACCGGAUAGGAGCUCCUGCUGCAUGGUGGGGGUUGGAAAGUUUCGGCGGUUGGGGAUGGACUCGCGGCUUAUCAGCUUGUUGGUGGGGGAGUGGCUUACCAAGGCUUUGACGGGUAGCCGGCCUGAGAGGGUGACCGGCCACAUUGGUACUGAGAGACGGCCCAGACUCCUACGGGAGACAGCAGUGGGGAAUAUUGCACAAUGGGCGGACGCCUGAUGCAGCAACGCCGCGUGCGGGAUGCCGGCCUUCGGGUUGUAAACCGCUUUCGCCUAUGACGAAGCGUGGGUGACGGUAAUGGGUAAAGAAGCACCGGCUAACUACGUG
rnacentral:rRNA from 1 species